AAAGCUUGUAUUGUGGUGUGACGCAUU
rnacentral:piRNA from 1 species